CCGGGCGACCGGCGCACGGGUGAGUAACACGUAUGCAACCUGGCCGUCACAGGUGGAUAACCGGAAGAAAUUCCGACUAAUACAGCAUAACACUCCUGAGGGACAUCCCUUGGGAGUCAAAGGAGGCAACUCCGGUGACGGAUGGGCAUGCGGCGCAUUAGGUAGUUGGUAGGGUAACGGCCUACCAAGCCGACGAUGCGUAGGGGUUCUGAGAGGAAGGUCCCCCACAUUGGAACUGAGACACGGUCCAAACUCCUACGGGAGGCAGCAG
rnacentral:rRNA from 1 species